rnacentral:rRNA from 1 species
UACGGAGGGUGCAAGCGUUGUUCGGAAUUAUUGGGCGUAAAGGGCAGGUAGGUUGUCUCAUAAGUCCACUGUGAAAUCCCCGGGCUUAACUCGGGAAGUGCGGUGGAUACUGUAAGACUAGAGUGCUAUAGGGGUACGCGGAAUUCCCGGUGUAGCGGUGAAAUGCGUAGAGAUCGGGAGGAACACCAGAGGCGAAGGCGGCGUACUGGAGAGCAACUGACACUCAACUGCGAAAGCGUGGGGAGCAAACAGG